AGGAAGAGAAAUCAACCGAGAUUCCGCUAGUAGUGGCGAGCGAACGCGGAAGAGGGCAAACCGGAGGAUUUAUCCUCCGGGGUUGUGGACAGUUUUUUAGCAACUGGAACUAGGAGAACGGUAUGGGAAGGCCGGCCAUAGCGGGUGAUAGCCCCGUAUCCGAAAGGGAAGGUUGUGCGACUGGAUCCAGAGUACCGCCGGACACGUGAAACCCGGUGGGAAGCUGGGGGGACCACCCUCCAACCCUAAAUACUACCUGAUGACCGAUAGAGGAGCAGUACCGUGAGGGAAAGGUGAAAAGGACCCCGGGAGGGGAGUGAAAGAGAACCUGAAACCUUGUGCUUACAAGCACUCAAAGCCCGUUAAAGGGUGAUGAGGUACCUUUUGUAGAAUGGUCCGGCGAGUUAUUGUUACUGGCAAGCUUAAGGCAUUCAGUGCCGGAGGCGCAGGGAGACCGAGUCUGAAUAGGGCGUAUGAAGUCAGUGGCAAUAGACCCGAAACCGGGUGACCUAUCCAUGGGCAGGUUGAAGUGGGGGUAAAACCCCAUGGAGGACCGAACGCACGCUCGUUGCAAUGAUCGGCGAUGACCUGUGGAUAGCGGUGAAAUUCCAAUCGAACUCGGAGAUAGCUGGUUCUCCCCGAAAUAGCUUUAGGGCUAGCGUUGGCUUAGAUUACCGGAGGUAAAGCACUGAAUGGGCUAGGGGCCGAUAAGGUUACUGAACCCUAUCAAACUCUGAAUGCCGGAUAAUUGAUGGCCAGCAGUCAGUCUACGUGAGAUAAGUCUCGUGGACAAAAGGGAAACAGCCCAGACCCACAGCUAAGGUCCCAAAGAUACGCUAAGUGGAAAACGAUGUGGAGUUGCGAAAACAACCAGGAUGUUGGCUUAGAAGCAGCCACUCAUUAAAAGAGUGCGUAAUAGCUCACUGGUCGAGUGACUCUGCGCGGAAAAUAUAACGGGGCUAAGCGUAACACCGAAGCUUGGGCUGCACAGCAAUGUGCGGGGUAGGGGAGCGUCGAAUAUGGGGUGAAGUCGCAGCGGAAGCAGCGGUGGACUGUAUUCGAGUGAGAAUGCCGGAAUGAGUAGCGAGAAUUAUGUGGGAAUCAUAAUGGCCGAAAAUCUAAGGUUUCUUGGGGAAGGUUCGUCCGCCCAAGGUAAGCCGGGAGCUAAGGCGAGGCCGAGAGGCGUAGUCGAUGCACAUACGGUAAAGAUUCCGUAGCCACCGAAGUCGUUAAAUACAGGGACACAGGAACAUAGCCUAACCCCACCGUUGGUUGAGUGGGGCGUAAGGGAGCGAAAAUUAGUAGCGAAGUAGGUGAUUGUACACUGGCGAGAAAAGCUGUAUGGAUUGACAAGGUGCCCGUACCGCAAACCGACACAGGUAGAUGAGGAGAGAAUCCUAAGACCAGCGGGAGAAGUGUUGUUAAGGAACUCGGCAAAAUGACCCCGUAACUUCGGGAUAAGGGGAGCCUACGAGAGUAGGCCGCAGAGAAUAGUCUCAAGCGACUGUUUAGCAAAAACACAGGUCUAUGCUAAAUCGAAAGAUGAUGUAUAUGGGCUGACGCCUGCCCGGUGCUGGAAGGUUAAGGGGAAGUGUUAGAGCAAUCGAAGCACUGAACUUAAGCCCCAGUAAACGGCGGCCGUAACUAUAACGGUCCUAAGGUAGCGAAAUUCCUUGUCAGGUAAGUUCUGACCCGCACGAAUGGCGUAACGACUUGAGAGCUGUCUCAACAACAUACCCGGCGAAAUUGAAGUACUGGUAAAGAUGCCAGUUACCCGUGAUAAGACGGAAAGACCCCAUGGAGCUUUACUGUAACUUGAUAUUGAAUUUUUGUAUUACAUGUACAGGAUAGGUGGGAGACAGAGAACUAAUGCCGCCAGGUGUUAGGGAGUCGAUGUUGGGAUACCACUCUUGUAAUAUGAAGGUUCUAACCUGCACCCGUGAAUCCGGGUGGGGGACACUGUCAGGUGGACAGUUUGACUGGGGCGGUCGCCUCCUAAAAGGUAACGGAGGCGUUCAAAGGUUGGUUCAGCACGGACGGAAAUCGUGCAACGAGUGCAAACGCAUAAACCAGCCUAACUGCGAGACCGACAAGUCGAGCAGUAACGAAAGUUGGAGUUAGUGAUCCGGCGGUAUGAGAGUGGAAUUGCCGUCGCUCAACGGAUAAAAGCUACCCUGGGGAUAACAGGCUGAUCUCCCCCAAGAGUCCACAUCGACGGGGAGGUUUGGCACCUCGAUGUCGGCUCAUCGCAUCCUGGAGCUGAAGUCGGUUCCAAGGGUUGGGCUGUUCGCCCAUUAAAGCGGUACGCGAGCUGGGUUCAGAACGUCGCGAGACAGUUCGGUCCCUAUCUAUCACGGGCGUAGGAAAUUUGAGGAGAGCUGACCUUAGUACGAGAGGACCGGGUUGGACGUACCGCUGGUGCACCUGUUGUUCUGCCAAGGGCAUAGCAGGGUAGCUAAGUACGGACGGGAUAAACGCUGAAGGCAUCUAAGCGUGAAGCCCCCUUCGAGAUAAGAUUUCCCAUAGCGUAGGCUAGUAAGGACCCAUGAAGACUACAUGGUUGAUAGGCCGGAGGUGGAAGUGCAGUAAUGUAUGCAGCUGACCGGUACUAAUAGUCCGAGGGCUUGACCAA
rnacentral:rRNA from 1 species